rnacentral:rRNA from 1 species
GGGUGCUUGCACCUGGUGGCGAGUGGCGAACGGGUGAGUAACACGUGAGCAAUCUGCCCUUGACUCUGGGAUAACUGCGGGAAACUGUAGCUAAUACCGGAUACGAGGCUCGAAGGCAUCUUCGGGUCUGGAAAGAAUUUCGGUCAAGGAUGAGCUCGCGGCCUAUCAGCUUGUUGGUGAGGUAAUGGCUCACCAAGGCGACGACGGGUAGCCGGCCUGAGAGGGUGACCGGCCACACUGGGACUGAGACACGGCCCAGACUCCUACGGGAGGCAGCAGUGGGGAAUAUUGCACAAUGGGCGCAAGCCUGAUGCAGCAACGCCGCGUGAGGGAUGAAGGCCUUCGGGUUGUAAACCUCUUUUAGCAGGGAAGAAGCGAAAGUGACGGUACCUGCAGAAAAAGCACCGGCUAACUACGUGCCAGCAGCCGCGGUAAUACGUAGGGUGCAAGCGUUGUCCGGAAUUAUUGGGCGUAAAGAGCUCGUAGGCGGUUUGUCGCGUCUGCUGUGAAAACCUGAGGCUCAACCUCAGACCUGCAGUGGGUACGGGCAAGCUAGAGUGCGGUAGGGGAGAUGGGAAUUCCUGGUGUAGCGGUGGAAUGCGCAGAUAUCAGGAGGAACACCGAUGGCGAAGGCACAUCUCUGGGCCGUAACUGACGCUGANGAGCGAAAGCGUGGGGAGCGAACAGGAUUAGAUACCCUGGUAGUCCACGCCGUAAACGGUGGGUGCUAGUUGUGGGUCACAUUCCACGUGAUNCGUGACGAAGUUAACACAUUAAGCACCCCGCCUGGGGNNUACGGUCGCAAGANUAAAACUCAAAGGAAUUGACGGGGGGCCCGCACAAGCNGNGG